rnacentral:rRNA from 1 species
UACGUAGGGCGCGAGCGUUGUCCGGAAUUAUUGGGCGUAAAGAGCUCGUAGGCGGCCUGUCGCGUCGGUUGUGAAAGCCCGGGGCUCAACCCCGGGUCUGCAGUCGAUACGGGCAGGCUAGAGUUCGGUAGGGGAGAUCGGAAUUCCUGGUGUAGCGGUGAAAUGCGCAGAUAUCAGGAAGAACACCCGUGGCUAAGGCGGCUCUCUAGUACGGUACUGACGCUGAGACGCGAAAGCGUGGGGAGCGAACAGG